CAUAUAGCUCAGUAGGUAGAGCACUUCCUUGGUAAGGAAGAGGUCACCGGUUCAAAUCCGGUUAUG
rnacentral:tRNA from 2 species